rnacentral:rRNA from 1 species
AUGCUAACAUUCUCAGUGAGUCGUCAUGAUGGCAUCAACAUCCCCGAUGGCAAGUUCCACCUUGGAGAUGCUGGCUAUGCAUGUCGCACAGGUGUUCUUCCAUCCUUCAGGAAAACCAGGCACCAUCUGAACGAGUUUGCUGGUAGGAACUAUCCUAGGACUCCUCAGGGACUGUUCAAUAUCAGACACUCCAACCUUAGAGUGAUUGUUGAGUGGGCCUUUGGAGCUCUGAAGAACAGGUUUAAGAGCCUGAAUCAUAAGCCAUUCCACUACCCUACCCAGGUGAAGCUUGUUCUUGCAUGUUGCGUCAUUCACAACUGGAUCCUGCAAUGGGGAGUUGAUGAAUUUGUGUCGGAGGAGGAAGAUGUGACUCUUGAUGAGGUGAUCAGCUCCGGCCAUGGUGUGGAGGCAUUCGACAACGAAGCAUGGAAGAACAAAAGGUUGGAGUGGGCUCAGGCAAUGUGGGAUAACAGAGGUCAAACAAGGAUUUGA